UUGCGUCUUCUUGUUUGAGGACUAUAUUUUGAAGUUUAAAUCAAUGCAUUUCUUUUUGGUCCUUUCUUCCCUUAACUUCUUUAAACUUGUUUUUUUUUUUGUUGACUUUCAAAUCUUUCAAUGAUAUCAUUUUCUCUAUUAUUUGAUUCAACUAUGAGUACCUUUGCCACCAGCUUCUCUUCAGUCAUUGUAUAUGAUCCUGAUCAACGCACCACCACUUUACAUCUGUUUAUCUAACUCAUGGGAAUCCUUAAUCUUACGGUACUUGUGUUCCUAGAUUUUUGAGUGCAUCCUUUCAUUGUAUUUUCCCCUAAAGCUGUGAAUUGUGCUUGCUUUGGGACUAAUAAAUUCCCAUGUUCUCCGAAUCAUUCUUCAUUUGCAUUCAUUCACAUUGUUUUAGUUUUUAAUCUUUGUGUUUGAAACCCUUUAUCUUUAAUGGAUUUGAUUUAUGCAAAUUCAGCAACUAAAAUUGUUUGUUUUUCUAGACAUGAGGGGUGUUCAGCAAAAUGGCCAAUUGCUCUUAUAUUUGAACUUUUGAAGUGCUUGCACUCUUCUUCCAGUUAUUUUGCAGCUUUGAUGGGAUACAUAAAGUUUGGUUUUCCUUGUGUUCUUUCAACAUGUGAGGUGUGCAUAUGGUCCAAGCCCCCUUUUGGGGUGAGUUUAAACCUCUUUCUCUUCCUAAUUCUUCAACUUUCUGAACUCUCUUCCAUUCUGCAGACAUUAUUAUAGCCCUUGUACCUUCAGCCCUUCUCCCAUGGAUGGCAGACAUGUUUGGCCCUCCAAAACACUAUAGCCAGCCACUUCUCUUGCUUCCAGUUUGAGCUCAGGCCUGUAUUAAAUUUUUGAAUGCUCAAAUUUGAUUUUUUUUUUUUUUUAAUAUAAGGCUCAAGCUUGAUAUUUAAACUGUAUAAAUUAAUCAAACAUCAGAUGCCAUACUGAAGAUGUGUACCAUUGCGGAUUUCUGAUAAGCUGGACCUUUCUCAGCUGUACUGCUCAUUGAAAGAAUCAUCUAACCCAAGCUAUAUGGUGCAGAACUCUGACAAAUUAAGGGACCAUAUGAUGACUAUAAGGUACUGAGACAUUAUCUACGUGGAUGAGUGAUAUGGUCUUGGAAUUUUGGAACUUAGUUGCACCAGAUUGCUACAUAUCAGCUGGUGAUGCUUCACAAUCACAUCAUGAAGUGUUAUGGUCUUAAAAUUUUUGAAUUUAGUUGCAUCAGAU
rnacentral:lncRNA from 1 species